GAUGAAGAACGUAGCGAAAUGCGAUAAGUAGUGUGAAUUGCAGAAUUCAGUGAAUCAUCGAAUCUUUGAACGCACAUUGCGCCCUUUGGUAUUCCUUAGGGCAUGCCUGUUCGAGCGUCAUUUAAACCUUCAAGCUAAGCUUGGUGUUGGGUGACUGUCCGCUUCACGGCGGACUCGCCUCAAAAUUAUUGGCGGCCGGUACAUUGGCUUCGAGCGCAGCAGAAACGCGAACUCGGGCCCGUCGUAUUGGCUCCCAGAAGCUAUCUUCACAAUUUUGACCUCGGAUCAGGUAGGGAUACCCGCUGAACUUAAGCAUUUCAAUAAGCGGAGGA
rnacentral:misc_RNA from 1 species